rnacentral:rRNA from 1 species
GAUGAACGCUGGCGGCGUGCCUAAUACAUGCAAGUCGAGCGAACAGACGAGGAGCUUGCUCCUCUUACGUUAGCGGCGGACGGGUGAGUAACACGUGGAUAACCUACCUAUAAGCCUGGGAUAACUUCGGGAAACCGGAGCUAAUACCGGAUAAUAUAUUUAACCGCAUGGUUCAAUAUUGAAAGACGGUUUUGCUGUCACUUAUAGAUGUAUCCGCGCCGCAUUAGCUAGUUGGUAAGGUAACGGCUUACAAAGGCAACGAUGCGUAGCCGACCUGAGAGGGGGAUCGGCCACACUGGAACUGAACAACGGUCCAGACUCCAACGGGAGGCAGAAGUAGGGAAUCUUCCGAAAUGGGCGAAAGCCUGACGGAGAAACGCCGCGGGAGUGAUGAAGGUCUUCGGAUCGUAAAACUCUGUUAUUAGGGAAGAACAAAUGGGGAAGUAACUAUGCACGUCUUGACGGUACCUAAUCAGAAAGCCACGGCUAACUACGUG